rnacentral:tRNA from 3 species
UGGUGGGGUUCCCGAGCGGCCAAAGGGAGCAGACUGUAAAUCUGCCGUCACAGACUUCGAAGGUUCGAAUCCUUCCCCCACCAU